UACGUAGGGGGCUAGCGUUGUCCGGAAUCAUUGGGCGUAAAGCGCCCGUAGGCGGUCCGGCAAGUCGGGUGUGAAAGCCCUCGGCUUAACCGAGGAAGUGCAUUCGAAACUACCGGACUUGAAUACUGGAGAGGGUCGCGGAAUUCCCGGUGUAGAGGUGAAAUUCGUAGAUAUCGGGAGGAACACCAGUGGCGAAGGCGGCGACCUGGACAGAUAUUGACGCUGAGGUGCGAAAGCGUGGGGAGCAAACAGG
rnacentral:rRNA from 1 species